UCCGGCUUUUCGCCGACAGUCUCCGUAGAGUGCCCAGCUUUACCUGAUGGCAACUACAGACAAGGGUUGCGCUCGUUGCGGGACUUAACCCAACAUCUCACGACACGAGCUGACGACAGCCAUGCAGCACCUCCACCGGUGUCCCGAAGGAACUCCACAUCUCUGCAGAUGGCACCGGCAGUUCAAACCCCGGUAAGGUUCUUCGCGUUGCGUCGAAUUAAACCACAUGCUCCACCGCUUGUGCGGGCCCCCGUCAAUUCCUUUGAGUUUCAGCCUUGCGGCCGUACUCCCCAGGCGGAGCACUUAACGAGUUUUCUCCGUCACAGAGAGCUUCUACAACUCCCCACAACAAGUGCUCAUCGUUUACAGCCAGGACUAC
rnacentral:misc_RNA from 1 species